GGGGUUGUGGCUCAGUGGCAGAGUGCUUGCCUAGCAAGUGUGAGGCACUGAGUUCAAUCCUCAGCAACACAU
rnacentral:tRNA from 1 species